rnacentral:rRNA from 1 species
GGCUGAAGACUUUGCCGGAUUAGCUGAGAGGAGGUGCAUGGCCGUCGUCAGUUCGUACUGUGAAGCAUCCUGUUAAGUCAGGCAACGAGCGAGACCCACGCCAACAGUGCCAGCAUGUCCUCCGGGAUGAUGGGGACACUGUUGGGACCGCCUCUGCUAAAGAGGAGGAAGGAAUGGGCAACGGUAGGUCAGCAUGCCCCGAAUUAUCCGGGCUACACGCGGGCUACAAUGGUCAGGACAAUGGGUAUCGACACCGAGAGGUGGAGGCAAUCUCCUAAACCUGUCCUUAGUUCGGAUUGUGGGCUGCAACUCGCCCACAUGAAGCUGGAAUCCGUAGUAAUCGCGUUUCAAAAUAGCGCGGUGAAUAUGUCCCUGCUCCUU